UAGGGAAUCUUCCGCAAUGGACGAAAGUCUGACGGAGCAACGCCGCGUGAGUGAUGAAGGGUUUCGGCUCGUAAAACUCUGUUGUUAAGGAAGAAUACUUGAGGUAGUAACUGGCCUUGAGAUGACGGUACUUAACCAGAAAGCCACGGCUAACUACGUGCCAGCAGCCGCGGUAAUACGUAGGUGGCAAGCGUUAUCCGGAAUUAUUGGGCGUAAAGCGCGCGUAGGCGGUAAAAUAAGUCUGAUGUGAAAGCCCCCGGCUCAACCGGGGAGGGUCAUUGGAAACUGUUUUACUUGAGUACAGAAGAGGAGAGUGGAAUUCCAUGUGUAGCGGUGAAAUGCGCAGAGAUAUGGAGGAACACCAGUGGCGAAGGCGGCUCUCUGGUCUGUUACUGACGCUGAGGUGCGAAAGCGUGGGGAUCAAACAGGAUUAGAUACCCUGGUAGUCCACGCCGUAAACGAUGAGUGCUAAGUGUUGGGGGGUUUCCGCCCCUCAGUGCUGCAGCUAACGCAUUAAG
rnacentral:rRNA from 1 species